UAAAAUAACUAGGUAUUACAGCGGUUAUGCACUCAUCCGAUCCGAGCCCGUGAAAAUACGGAUAUGAAAAACUCGGACUGAACUCUGAUAUUGCUUGCGCACUAAUCGAAAUCGAAAUCAUA